UGGAUGUGUUUUCCUGAGCUCAUGUUCAGC
rnacentral:piRNA from 1 species